UACGUAGGAGGCAAGCGUUGUCCGGAGUUACUGGGCGUAAAGGGCCCGCAGGCGGUGGAGUAAGUUUGGAGUGACAGUUCCCAGCUUAACCGGGAAAGGACUUCGAAAACUGCUCGACUUGAGGACUGGAGAGGAAGGCGGAAUUCCGGGUGGAGCGGUGAAAUGCGUAGAUAUCGGGAGGAACACCUGUGGCGAAAGCGGCUCACUGGACCAUUACUGACGCUGAGAAGCGAAAGCAUGGGGAGCGAACAGG
rnacentral:rRNA from 1 species